AUGCUCACUUCAACAGCACAUAUACUAAAAUUGGAAGGAUAGGAAUUAGCAUGACCCCUGCUUCAGAAUGACAUUCAAAUUUGUAACAUUUUGUA
rnacentral:snRNA from 1 species